rnacentral:rRNA from 1 species
UUGACGGGGGCUCACACAAGCGGUGGAGGAUGUAGCUUAAUUCGAGGAUACGCGGAGAACCUUAUCCUGGUCUUGACAUGCUUGAGAAUCCCUAUGAAAGUAGAGAGUGCCCUUCGGGGAGCUCUUGCACAGGUGCUGCAUGGCUGUCGUCAGCUCGUGUCGUGAGAUGUCGGGUUAAGUCCCUUAACGAGCGAAACCCUUAUCUUUAGUUGCCAGCGGGUAAUGCCGGGGACUCUAAAGAGACUGCCGGUGUCAAACCGGAGAAAGGUGGGGAUGACGUCAAGUCCUCAUGGCCGA